UUGUGAGGUUAAGCGACUAAGCGUACACGGUGGAUGCCCUGGCAGUCAGAGGCGAUGAAGGGCGUACUAAUCUGCGAUAAGCGCCGGUAAGGUGAUAUGAACCGUUAUAACCGGCGAUACCCGAAUGGGGAAACCCAGUGUGAUUCGUCACACUAUCAUUAACUGAAUCCAUAGGUUAAUGAGGCGAACCGGGGGAACUGAAACAUCUAAGUACCCCGAGGAAAAGAAAUCAACCGAGAUUCCCCCAGUAGCGGCGAGCGAACGGGGAGGAGCCCAGAGCCUGAAUCAGCAUGUGUGUUAGUGGAAGCGUCUGGAAAGGCGCGCGAUACAGGGUGACAGCCCCGUACACAAAAGCGCAUGUGCUGUGAGCUCGAUGAGUAGGGCGGGACACGUGGUAUCCUGUCUGAAUAUGGGGGGACCAUCCUCCAAGGCUAAAUACUCCUGACUGACCGAUAGUGAACCAGUACCGUGAGGGAAAGGCGAAAAGAACCCCGGCGAGGGGAGUGAAAAAGAACCUGAAACCGUGUACGUACAAGCAGUGGGAGCACAGGUUUACCUGUGUGACUGCGUACCUUUUGUAUAAUGGGUCAGCGACUUAUAUUCUGUAGCAAGGUUAACCGAAUAGGGGAGCCGGAGGGAAACCGAGUCUUAAUUGGGCGUUAAGUUGCAGGGUAUAGACCCGAAACCCGGUGAUCUAGCCAUGGGCAGGUUGAAGGUUGGGUAACACUAACUGGAGGACCGAACCGACUAAUGUUGAAAAAUUAGCGGAUGACCUGUGGCUGGGGGUGAAAGGCCAAUCAAACCGGGAGAUAGCUGGUUCUCCCCGAAAGCUAUUUAGGUAGCGCCUCGUGAAUUCAUCUCCGGGGGUAGAGCACUGUUUCGGCUAGGGGGCCAUCCCGGCUUACCAACCCGAUGCAAACUGCGAAUACCGGAGAAUGUUAUCACGGGAGACACACGGCGGGUGCUAACGUCCGUCGUGAAGAGGGAAACAACCCAGACCGCCAGCUAAGGUCCCAAAGUCAUGGUUAAGUGGGAAACGAUGUGGGAAGGCCCAGACAGCCAGGAUGUUGGCUUAGAAGCAGCCAUCAUUUAAAGAAAGCGUAAUAGCUCACUGGUCGAGUCGGCCUGCGCGGAAGAUGUAACGGGGCUAAACCAUGCACCGAAGCUGCGGCAGCGACGCUUAUGCGUUGUUGGGUAGGGGAGCGUUCUGUAAGCCUGCGAAGGUGGCCUGUGAGGGUUGCUGGAGGUAUCAGAAGUGCGAAUGCUGACAUAAGUAACGAUAAAGCGGGUGAAAAGCCCGCUCGCCGGAAGACCAAGGGUUCCUGUCCAACGUUAAUCGGGGCAGGGUGAGUCGACCCCUAAGGCGAGGCCGAAAGGCGUAGUCGAUGGGAAACGGGUUAAUAUUCCCGUACUUGGUGUUACUGCGAAGGGGGGACGGAGAAGGCUAUGUUGGCCGGGCGACGGUUGUCCCGGUUUAAGCGUGUAGGUGUGUGUUCCAGGUAAAUCCGGUUCACUUUAACACUGAGGCGUGACGACGAGGCACUACGGUGCUGAAGCAACAAAUGCCCUGCUUCCAGGAAAAGCCUCUAAGCAUCAGGUAACAUCAAAUCGUACCCCAAACCGACACAGGUGGUCAGGUAGAGAAUACCAAGGCGCUUGAGAGAACUCGGGUGAAGGAACUAGGCAAAAUGGUGCCGUAACUUCGGGAGAAGGCACGCUGACACGUAGGUGAAGUGAUUUACUCAUGGAGCUGAAGUCAGUCGAAGAUACCAGCUGGCUGCAACUGUUUAUUAAAAACACAGCACUGUGCAAACACGAAAGUGGACGUAUACGGUGUGACGCCUGCCCGGUGCCGGAAGGUUAAUUGAUGGGGUCAGCGCAAGCGAAGCUCCUGAUCGAAGCCCCGGUAAACGGCGGCCGUAACUAUAACGGUCCUAAGGUAGCGAAAUUCCUUGUCGGGUAAGUUCCGACCUGCACGAAUGGCGUAAUGAUGGCCAGGCUGUCUCCACCCGAGACUCAGUGAAAUUGAACUCGCUGUGAAGAUGCAGUGUACCCGCGGCAAGACGGAAAGACCCCGUGAACCUUUACUAUAGCUUGACACUGAACAUUGAGCCUUGAUGUGUAGGAUAGGUGGGAGGCUUUGAAGUGUGGACGCCAGUCUGCAUGGAGCCGACCUUGAAAUACCACCCUUUAAUGUUUGAUGUUCUAACGUGGACCCGUUACCCGGGUUGCGGACAGUGUCUGGUGGGUAGUUUGACUGGGGCGGUCUCCUCCUAAAGAGUAACGGAGGAGCACGAAGGUUGGCUAAUCCUGGUCGGACAUCAGGAGGUUAGUGCAAUGGCAUAAGCCAGCUUGACUGCGAGCGUGACGGCGCGAGCAGGUGCGAAAGCAGGUCAUAGUGAUCCGGUGGUUCUGAAUGGAAGGGCCAUCGCUCAACGGAUAAAAGGUACUCCGGGGAUAACAGGCUGAUACCGCCCAAGAGUUCAUAUCGACGGCGGUGUUUGGCACCUCGAUGUCGGCUCAUCACAUCCUGGGGCUGAAGUAGGUCCCAAGGGUAUGGCUGUUCGCCAUUUAAAGUGGUACGCGAGCUGGGUUUAGAACGUCGUGAGACAGUUCGGUCCCUAUCUGCCGUGGGCGCUGGAGAACUGAGGGGGGCUGCUCCUAGUACGAGAGGACCGGAGUGGACGCAUCACUGGUGUUCGGGUUGUCAUGCCAAUGGCACUGCCCGGUAGCUAAAUGCGGAAGAGAUAAGUGCUGAAAGCAUCUAAGCACGAAACUUGCCCCGAG
rnacentral:rRNA from 1 species